rnacentral:lncRNA from 1 species
ACUCUUUGCUUUGGGGUUCUGGUCACGCCAGCUGGAGCCUUGUAUUCCCUGUGGCUGUAGAGAGUCCCCGCACUUCUGAGAAGCACCCAGAAUAUCUACACGCUCCUAUACCCAUGCGGUGGUCUCGGUACCCCAGCCUGAUGCUUCUCAGCUCGUAUUUUGCUGGGAUAAAGCAAAGCAGGGCAAGGAAUUGAGGAUAUACACGAAGGAGUCAUCAUCAGGACUGACCAGAGGAUUUAAGGCAGUGGUACCAGCUUGCUGUUGGGACAGCAUAGUUUGAAGCUCAGUACAUAAUGGUCAUGAUAUGUGUCCGAUACGCAUCUUUAAAUGGAAGAACGGCUUCUCAUUUGGUAAAGAGAGUCCAAGCAUAGCAAGGAGUCCGGGUUGAUAAGGAAUCUGCGUGUCUGCUCUGUGAAGAGGGGUGUCUCCCCCACCACACCCCAGCCUCUGAGUCCUGCAUGGGCAGAGGUUCUGACUGCCUGGCCAGGCUGAAAGCACCCUGAGGGCAGAGGUACUUAAGAUAGUGGUUCAAAGUUCCCCCAACAGUGUGACGAGAUGGACUGGGAAGGGACUUCUGGGAGGACUGGAUUUGCUUCUUCACUCAGCCACUCAAAUUCCCAAAGGUCAUUUCCUUCUUCUAUUUAAAAAAAAAAGUGUGUGUGUGGGGGGGCACUUCUCUGGUGCUUCAGUGGUUAAGAAUCUGCCUUGCAAAGCAGGGGAUGCAGAUUUGAUCCCUGGACAGGGAACUAAGAUUCCACACGCCAAGGAGCAACUAAGCCCACAUGCCACAAGGGAUCCUGUAUGAUGCAAUUAGGACCUGACUCAGCCGAAUAAAUAUAUAUUUC